UCCGGCUUGGCGCCGGCAGUCUCCCUAGAGUCCCCACCAUUACGUGCUGGCAACUAAGGACGGGGGUUGCGCUCGUUGCGGGACUUAACCCAACAUCUCACGACACGAGCUGACGACAGCCAUGCACCACCUGUGCACUGGCCCCGAAGGGCUGCCGUAUUUCUACGACAUUCCAGUGCAUAUCAAGCCUUGGUAAGGUUCUUCGCGUUGCGUCGAAUUAAACCACAUGCUCCGCUGCUUGUGCGGGUCCCCGUCAAUUCCUUUGAGUUUUAGCCUUGCGGCCGUACUCCCCAGGCGGGGUGCUUAACGCGUUAGCUGCGGCACGGAGGGGAUUGAGGGCCCCCCCACACCUAGCACCCAACGUUUACGGCUGGGACUAC
rnacentral:misc_RNA from 1 species